GGACAAAGACCAUUUUAAGCGACCUAGAUCUUGUUGGGUUAAUUCUUAUUUGGCCGAACGUCUCAAGAAAGGACGAUUUACAACAGAUUUUGAAGAUUUAACACAAAACCCGUUGCUCUUUUUUGAAAACUUUCAUAUGAGUUUGGUCCAUUUCAAAGAAUUGUAUAAGAAGUUGGAGCCAAUUCUUAUUCCAAAAAUGUUUUCUCGUUCUGACUCUAUUCGCUCCCACGAAAAAUUGGCCUUAGUACUUGAGUAUCUAGCUUCGGGUUCUAUUCAACGUCAUAUUGCUUCUUCUUAUCGAAUAAGCAAGCAACGCGUAGGUUCGUUGAUAGAUUUGGUGUGCACUGAAAUAUGCAAGAAACUUCAAAAUGAAGUACCCCCCUGGACCAAGGAAACAAUGCUAAAAAAUGCAGAGGAUUUUGAAAAUGUGUGGAAUUUUCCUAACUGUGUAGGAGCGAUUGACGGGAAACAUGUUCCCAUUA